GACGAACGCUGGCGGCGUGCUUAACACAUGCAAGUCGAGCGGUAAGGCCCUUCGGGGUACACGAGCGGCGAACGGGUGAGUAACACGUGGGUGACCUGCCCUCAGCUCUGGGAUAAGCCUGGGAAACCGGGUCUAAUACCGGCCAGGACCUGCUCCUUCAUGGGCGGGGGUGGAAAGUUUUUUCGGCUGGGGAUGGGCCCGCGGCCUAUCAGCUUGUUGGUGGGGUGAUGGCCUACCAAGGCGACGACGGGUAGCCGGCCUGAGAGGGCGACCGGCCACACUGGGACUGAGACACGGCCCAGACUCCUACGGGAGGCAGCAGUGGGGAAUAUUGCGCAAUGGGCGGAAGCCUGACGCAGCGACGCCGCGUGGGGGAUGACGGCCUUCGGGUUGUAAACCUCUUUCGCCAGGGACGAAGCGUAAGUGACGGUACCAGGAUAAGAAGCACCGGCCAACUACGUGCCAGCAGCCGCCGUAA
rnacentral:rRNA from 1 species